rnacentral:rRNA from 1 species
CUACCAGACUCCUACGGGAGGCAGCAGUGAGGAAUAUUGGUCAAUGGGAGGAAUCCUGAACCAGCCAUGCCGCGUGCAGGACGACGGCUCUACGAGUUGUAAACUGCUUUUGUACCGGGGUAAAAUGCCUUACGAGUAGGGUUUUGAAAGUACGGUACGAAUAAGGAUCGGCUAACUCCGUGCCAGCAGCCGCGGUAAUACGGAGGAUCCAAGCGUUAUCCGGAUUUAUUGGGUUUAAAGGGUGCGUAGGCGGUUUUAUAAGUUAGAGGUGAAAUCUCGGGGCUCAACUCCGAAAUUGCCUCUAAUACUGUAGGACUAGAGAGUAGUUGCGGUAGGCGGAAUGUAUGGUGUAGCGGUGAAAUGCUUAGAGAUCAGACAGAACACCGAUUGCGAAGGCAGCUUACCAAGCUAUAUCUGACGUUGAGGCACGAAAGCGUGGGGAGCAAACAGGAUUAGAUACCCUUGUAA